rnacentral:rRNA from 1 species
AGAGUUUGAUCAUGGCUCAGGACGAACGCUGGCGGCGUGCUUAACACACGCAAGUCGAACGAGAUCCAUUCAGUAGCAAUACUGAUGAAGAUCUAGUGGCGAACGGGUGCGUAACACGUGAGGAACUUGUCCCGGUCUCUGGGAUAACAGUUGGAAACGACUGCUAAUACCGGAUGACGUCGGAACUUCGCAUGGAGUACUGACGAAAGGGUUACUGGAUCGGGAGAGCCUCGCGGCCUAUCAGCUUGUUGGUGGGGUAACGGCCUACCAAGGCAUCGACGGGUAGCUGGUCUGAGAGGAUGAUCAGCCACACUGGGACUGAGACGCGGCCCAGACUCCUACGGGAGGCAGCAGUGGGGAAUCUUGCACAAUGGGCGAAAGCCUGAUGCAGCAACGCCGCGUGCGGGAAGAAGGCCCUCGGGUUGUAAACCGCUUUCAGAAGGAACGAAACUGACGGUACUUUCAGAAGAAGGUGCGGCCAACUACGUGCCAGCAGCCGCGGUGACACGUAGGCACCAAGCGUUGUCCGGAUUUAUUGGGCGUAAAGAGCUCGUAGGCGGUUCAGUAAGUCGGGUGUGAAAACUUUGGGCUUAACCCAAAGCGUGCAUCCGAUACUGCUGUGACUUGAGUACGGUAGGGGAGCGGGGAAUUCCUAGUGUAGCGGUGAAAUGCGCAGAUAUUAGGAGGAACACCGGUGGCGAAGGCGCCGCUCUGGGCCGAAACUGACGCUGAGGAGCGAAAGCAUGGGUAGCAAACAGGAUUAGAUACCCUGGUAGUCCAUGCCGUAAACGUUGGGCACUAGGUGUGGGUUCCAACCAACGGAAUCCGCGCCGUCGCUAACGCAUUAAGUGCCCCGCCUGGGGAGUACGGCCGCAAGGUUAAAACUCAAAGGAAUUGACGG